UUUCAGGUCCUGCAAUAAAAGCAGGCCCAACCCCGUCAGAUCCGGAAGGAAGCAGCGGUAAGCAUUGCGAUUGUGUGCUGGAAUUCCCUGAUGCAC
rnacentral:SRP_RNA from 1 species